CCAGUGCCUGGUUCAUGGCCACGAACCCCCGGAGGUCGCGUUCGUAGGCCGCGAAGGCCGCGGUGUGGUCCCGGUUCGCGGCCAGGGCGUUGGC
rnacentral:tRNA from 1 species